GACGAACGCUGGCGGCGUGCUUAACACAUGCAAGUCGAACGGAAAGGCCCUGCUUUUGUGGGGUGCUCGAGUGGCGAACGGGUGAGUAACACGUGAGUAACCUGCCCUUGACUUUGGGAUAACUUCAGGAAACUGGGGCUAAUACCGGAUAGGAGCUCCUGCAGCAUGGUGGGGGUUGGAAAGUUUCGGCGGUGGGGGUUGGACUCGCGGCUUACUCGCUGGUUGGGGGGGUAGGGGCUUACCAAGCGUUUGACGGGUAGCCGGCCUGGGAGGGUGACCGGCCACAUUGGGACUGAGAUACGGCCCAGACUCCAACGGGAGGCAGCAGUGGGGAAUAUUGCACAAUGGGCGGAAGCCUGAUACAGCAGCGCCGCGUGCGGGAUGACGGCCUUCGGGUUGUAAACCGCUUUCGCCUGUGACGAAGCGUGAGUGACGGUAAUGGGUAAAGAAGCACCGGCUAACUACGUG
rnacentral:rRNA from 1 species